rnacentral:lncRNA from 1 species
GUGCUUGCUAUGAGCAGUGUAACCCCGUAGGUUGACUGUAUGAAUGUCCCAUCAACUACAAUGAUUGGGAAACAAUGUUGCCAUGCCUCAAUGGAUGCUCAUAUUGCGAAGAAGAGAUAUUUGAAGCGACCAUUUUUUUCCAACUCCAAGGAUGUGAUGAAUCCUGAAAUGAAUUUUAAAGUAAGGUUAAUGUAAUUAUAUGUAAUAAAUAUUGUCUAAAUUUGUAGUUAGGAUUACUAUGUGUAUUACUUUUGCUAUAUAAUUACUUAUAUUUUAAUAUUUUUUAUAGUGUUCAGAUGGUAUCUAAAAUGCUAUUUAAUAGUUUCAUUUCAUGUAGAUUUUUGUCUGCUGCAAAAAUCAUAUUUAGUUUUAUUUCAUUAAAAUAGGUAGUAGCCAUACAUGUGUUUGUAAGUAUCUAAAUUACAUAAUUUGAGUAACCAAAAUAUUUGAAACAUUUAAUAAAUAGUUUCCAAUUGUUACCUGGAUUUGUUUUUUUGCAACAUGUGCAACCAAGAAAGGAUUAGAGUGUAGUCGUGUG